GGCACUACACCCUCAUCCCUCUCGAUCUCCGAUUACGGCGACCAGCGCGGCGGCGUUGGGUGACGACCGGCAGCCCCCCCUCCUCACCUUCAGCUCCUUUCUCUCCCUCUGAAAUCCUUCCGACAGACAUGCCGGACUCCGAUGGUUAACCGACGACUCACACCACCACUCGAUUACUUCUGUAUAUAUACCACGCACACCACCCAACGAGUCCAUCUGCAACGGCGACAGUCACGGUGGCCCUGGUUCCCCUCCGUCAAAUCUCCGGCAAUCUCGUCUCGAGUUUCGGGACUCGGUUCGGUCAGACUCAGAUUCAUAUGCGGGUUUCUCUCGGCUCGGGUUUCAGUUUCAGUUGGUUCAGUUUUGGUUUCGGGUUCAGGUUCCGGCCGACGUCAAUCAACUCCGGCCGACAACAGUUAGGCGGCUCGUUUCUGUUCACUUCAGUUUUGGAGCUCGGGUCGUGAUUCAGGCUUGUUUCGAGUUCGAUCAAGACAGCCAACGGGUUCGGUCCUGUUUCGGGUCUUGAUUCGUGUAUUGUUUCAGCUUUCUGUUCGGGUCAAACCUGGUCGGCUUCGGUCAAACCAGUCAACUAGUCAACACGGGUUACUUGCGAGACUUGGAGUCGCAAACGUAACCACUCAUAAUCUCGAGACUUUGGUGUUCCAUCCUUCUCAUCUCAUACACCC